AGAGUUUGAUCCUGGCUCAGAAUGAACGUUGGCGGCGUGGAUUAGGCAUGCGAGUCGUACGAGAACCCGCAAGGGGGAAAGUGGCGAACGGGGUAGUAAUGCGUAGGUGACGUGCCCUAUGGUCGGGGAUAGCUUAGGGAAACUUAAGGUAAUACUCGAUGAUCCCGGGAUGUUUGAAGACAAUCCGGGCAAAGGUGUGAUUCCAUCAUAGGAGCGGCUUGCGUGGUAUUAGCUAGUUGGUGAGGUAACGGCUCACCAAGGCUUCGAUGCCUAGGGGAUGUUAGCGCAUGAUCCCCACCACUGGGACUGAGAUACUGCCCAGACACCUACGGGUGGCUGCAGUCGAGAAUCUUCGGCAAUGGGCGAAAGCCUGACCGAGCGACGCCGCGUGUGGGAUGAAGGCCCUUGGGUUGUAAACCACUGUCAGAGGGGAUGAAAUGCAUGGGAGCUAUCUCCUGUGUUUGACAUAGCCUCAGAGGAAGCACGGGCUAAGUUCGUGCCAGCAGCCGCGGUAAGACGAACUGUGCAAACGUUAUUCGGAAUCACUGGGCUUAAAGGGUGCGUAGGCGGUCUUUUAAGUAGGGUGUGAAAGCCUCUGGCUCAACCAGAGAACUGCGCCCUAAACUAGAAGGCUUGAGUGAGGUAGGGGUGUGUGGAACUUCCAGUGGAGCGGUGAAAUGUGUUGAUAUUGGAAGGAACGCCGGUGGCGAAAGCGACACACUGGACCUUGUCUGACGCUGAGGCACGAAAGCCAGGGGAGCAAACGGGAUUAGAUACCCCGGUAGUCCUGGCCGUAAACG
rnacentral:rRNA from 1 species